rnacentral:lncRNA from 1 species
GAAAUAAUAAAGAUAUUUGGAAUUAUCCUAAUUCUACGCUGCAUCAGGUCUCGCCGGCCAAGAAAAGAUUCGUCCUCGUAUCUUGUAACUGCGCUGCAUCAGCUCUCGCCGGCCAAGAAAGAUUCGACCUCGAAUCUUCAGCAGGGUUUUCAGCAUUGGAGAUCUUCGCAGAUCCAUCUUUAUCUUCAUCUCUUGAUUUUUCCCGAUUUUUGCACGAACUGGAUCAGACCCGAAAGUUGCACGAAUCUGAUUUGACCCAAAAUUUGCACGAAUCCGUUUUGACCCAAAUUUGCACGGACCGGAAUAUGUACGAAACUUGCACAGAUCUGAUCUUUCAUGUUUUCUGCAGGAAACCCGAAUUUUGCACAGAUCUGACUACGCCCGGAUUUUGCACGAAGAGUAUCUUGCCCGAAUUCUGCACAGAUUUUCUCGAACGCACCAUCGCUGAACAUAAAAUCGACAUGAUCAAUAAGUAAGACAUCAUCAUCUUCAUAGAUAUCGUAGAUAGGAUCACCGUAAAUUUCUAUGUAACCAUCUUCAAACAAACUUUCUUCUGCAAAGGGAUAAAAGUUACCACUCAACAUGAUCACCAGAAUCGUUCUUCGAUUGAGAAAUCAAAGAGACAGAGCUCUGAUACCAACUGAAGUAGCGGAAGCUUUAAGGAUAGAACUAGAGAUCCGUUGAUUCCUCGGAAUACCGGAAAACUAGGGUUUGAGAGUCCUCCUCUCAGGGCUUUCGCAAAAGCUCUUAGGGUUGUGAAUACUCUUCACAGUUGUUUAUCAAAACCUCUUUAAAUCUUUCGAUUAAUCAAUUCAUCAAUAACUUCAUACAAUAGGAGGCCUAAGAAGGCUAUUUAUAAUAAAAGCAUAAAACCCUAAAAUCCAUAGAAUAUUCUAGAAUAAUUAUAAUUAAUAAAUUAAAAGAUAAUAGAAAUAGAUAUUUGAAAUAUUUCCAAAUAUCUCGCUGCAUCAGGUCUCGCCGGCCAAGAAAAGAUUCGUCCUAGAAUCUUGUAUCUGCGCUGCAUCAGCUCCCGCCGGCCAAGAAAGAUUCGUCCCCGAAUCUUCAGUAGGGUUUUCAGCAUAGGAGAUCUUCGAAUAUCUGUCUUUAUCUCCAACUUUUGAUUCUGCCCGAAAUUUGCACGAACCAUAUCUGAACCGAAUUUUGCACGACUUGUAUGUUGCACGAAAUUCGCACGAAUAUCUUCUUGUACGAAUUUUGCACAGGUCGGAUAUUGCACGAAAUUUGCACAGAUCGGACUUUCCAUAACUUCUGCAAAAAACACGAAUUUUGCACAAGUCGAAAUUCGCCCAGAUUUUGCACUGUUCUGAUUUCGCCCAUAAUUUGCAGAAAUCAGAAUCUCAAAAGCAUCUUCUAGAAAACCCAAAUCGAUAUCUAUAACAUCUUCUUCAUAGAUAUCAUAGAUGGGACCACCAUAGAUCUCUCUGUAGAUCUCAUGGUUUUCUUCUUCUUCAGAAAACAGACUUUCGCCUGUGAUAGGGUAGACGUUUCCGGUCAACCGUUUAAGGAUAAAACUAGAGAUCCGUUGAUUCCUCGGAAUACCGGAUAACUAGGGUUUCUCGGAUCUGUUGAUUCCUCAGAAUACCAGAAACGAGAGAACGUGAGGAAUUCGUUGAUUCUCCGCGAAUACAGAAUCCUACGUCUUCUUAUAAUCGUUGAGAUCUCUCGAGAUCUACCGAAAACUAGGAUUAGAGAAUACUCUUCCUUGAAAAGCUAAAAGCUCUUUAAUUUUAUUAAUCAAAUCAAUUAUAUACAACCCUAGGCCUAAAAGCCUUAUUUAUAAUAAAUCUAAAAAACUCUAGAAUAUUCAUAAAACAAUAAAUAGAAAUUAUCUAAAUAAUUAAAUAGAGAUAUUAGGAAAUAAUAAAGAUAUUUGGAAUUAUCCUAAUUCUACGCUGCAUCAGAAGAAGAGAGCCAAAUCCUGUAGAAGCAGCUAGCUGAAUAGCCCACCCAUGGUGCGGACCAAACACCUGAUUGUAAGCUUUAUAUGCUGCAUCCUUUAGGGGGCUAUCAGCUCUACAAAUCAUAUUCAAACACAUUUAAAAUCUUUUGAUAUUGACCCAAAAAGAAUAGUUACAACAAGUACUCAGCUAGCUAGCAUGGAAUUAUUGCAACACAUUUAUAUUGUGUUAAUAUAUAGGAGCAUAACCAAGUGAUGGUAGUUCAAUGGUUAGGGCUUAUUCGUCUAUAACAGUAAUUGUUUUCCCCUGGAUGCACAUUCUUUUUUAGCACUACGGAUCGACUAAUCCCAUAGGAGCACACCUGCAUAUCUUCUUAAACAUCUAGAAUAGUGAGAGGCGAGCCCAAGGCCAUACUAGUGAGAGUGCAUAAACCCCAAACAAGCCCAAAGUCCAUAAGCAUCAUUUUAAUUUUUAAGCGAAUGCAAAUUUACGCCUUAAGUCUUAUGUUUAUUAGGGAUAACAAUGUGGUCCUAACAGUAUAUAAGAGAUAUAGGCCAUCCACUAAUUGCUAAUUGAUUUUGAAUUGGAAGCCCAUAUUCUAAUAAUGUUGUCUUCCUACCAUCCGGCCACCAUCCUGAGGUAGGAAAAUAUGUUCCUAACUGAUAGGGCUCGAACCUAGGCCCCCAAGCACAAAGGAACCCCUAGACCACGAGCCUCUCAACACCAGUACAGAAUUCACAUGGUGAGUAUAGAUUUCAAAGAUUAGUUUAGAAUUUCAGUUACAAAAAUGAAAUAUAUAAAAACUUGGAAUGACACAUAUGGAAGAUGGCAAGGCUCGAUUGAAGAUGUCGCAAAACUCACAAAUGAGAGUCUAGAGGAACACUUACUCAGUGGCUAAUGUCUCUUCACAUAGAACCCUUAUCAUUUCUAGACCACGCUUUACCCUCAAAAG